rnacentral:rRNA from 1 species
AACGCAGCGAAAUGCGAUACCUAGUGUGAAUUGCAGAAUUCCGUGAAUCAUCGAGUCUUUGAACGCAAGUUGCGCCCGAGGCUUGACCGAGGGCAUUUCUGUCAGAGCGUCACCGCGACACCCACCGGGACCCCCUC